rnacentral:rRNA from 1 species
CUAAAUACUACCCAGUGACCGAUAGCGUAUAGUACUGUGAAGGAAAGGUGAAAAGGACCCCGGGAGGGGAGUGAAAUAGAACCUGAAACCUUGUGCCUACAAGCACAUAGAGCACAUCAACGUGUGAUAUGGUACUUUUUGUAGAACGGUCCGGCGAGCGAUUGUAUGUUGCGAGCUUAAGGUCUUAAGGACUGGAGGCGUAGCGAGAGCGAGUCUAAACAGGGCGUUUAGUAGCGUGCAAUGGGCCCGAAACCGGGUGACCUACCCAUGAUCAGGCUGAAGUGAAAGUAAAAUUUCAUGGAGGGCCGAACCGACCUCCGUUGAAAAGGCGGCGGAUGAAUUGUGGGUAGCGGAGAAAUUCCAAUCGAACUCGGAGAUAGCUGGUUCUCCCCGAAAUAGCUUUAGGGCUAGCCUCAUAUUAGAUACCCGGAGGUAAAGCACUGAAUGGCCUAGCGCCCGAGAGGGUAGCGAAGCCUAUCAAACUAAGAAUGCCGGAAUAUUGAUGCAUGGGAGUCAGACAGUGUGAGAUAAAUCUCAUUGUCAAAAGGGAAACAGCCCAGAUCUACAGCUAAGGUCCCAAAUUGUAUCUAAGUGGAAAACGAUGUGGAAAUACGCAGACAACCAGGAUGUUGGCUCAGAAGCAGCCACUCAUUUAAAGAGUGCGUAAUAGCUCACUGGUCGAGCGUCUCUGCGCGGAAAAUUUAACGGGGCUAAGAUACAAACCGAAGCUUAGGCUGCACGUAAGUGCGGGGUAGGGGAGCGUUGUGUAAGCGGAGAAACAGUAGCGUAAGCGGCUGUGGAGUUUACAGAAGUGAGAAUGCCGGAAUGAGUAGCGCGAAUGUGGUGAGAAUCCACAUGGCCGGAAACCUCAGGUUUUUGGAGGAAGGUUCGUCCGCUCCAAGUUAGGCGGGAGCUAAGGUCAGGCCGAAAGGCGUAGCCGAUGCACAGACGGUAGAGAUUCCGUCCCCACCGAAAGAUUUAAGCACAGGGACACUUUUAGAAGGUCGGAGCCAGGUGUUGGUUCUGGUAGUGAUCGAGGGAAAUUUAGUACCGAAGUCCGGCUGGAAGAGAGGCGAGAAAAGCUGUGUGUAUAUCUAAGGUGCCCGUACCGCAAACCGACACAGGUAGGUAGGAAGAAGAUUCUAAGGCCAACGGGAGAAGGGUUGUUAAGGAACUCGGCAAGUUGACCCCGUAACUUCGGAAUAAGGGGUGCUCACGAGAGUGAGCCGCAGAGAAUAGGCCCAGGCAACUGUUUACCAAAAACACAGGUUUGUGCUAAAUCGAAAGAUGACGUAUACGAGCUGACGCCUGCCCGGUGCUGGAAGGUUAAAAGGAGAUGUGCAAGCAUUGAAUUGAAGCCCCAGUGAACGGCGGCCGUAACUAUAACGGUCCUAAGGUAGCGAAAUUCCUUGUCAGGUAAGUUCUGACCCGCAUGAAAGGCGUAAUGAUUUGGGCACUGUCUCAACAGCCCGCCCGGCGAAAUUGUAGUACCGGUGAAGAUGCCGGUUACCCGCGACAAGACGGAAAGACCCCAUGGAGCUUUACUGUAGCCUGAUAUUGGGUUUCGGUGUUGCAUGCACAGGAUAGAUGGGACACUGGGAAGCGGAUGCUUUGGCGUUCGUGGAGUGGACGUUGGGAUACCAUCCUUGCGACAUUGGAAUUCUAACCUGCGCCUCUGAAUCGAGGCGGGGGACAUUGUCAGGUGGGCAGUUUGACUGGGGCGGUCGCCUCCUAAAAAGUAGCGGAGGCGUUCAAAGGUUCGUUCGAUCUGGACGGAAACCAGAUGAUUGAGUGCAAACGCAUAAACGAGCCUGACUGCGAGACUGACGGGUCGAGCAGAGACGAAAGUCGGAGUUAGUGAUCCGGUGGUAUGUGAGUGGAAAUGCCAUCGCUCAACGGAUAAAA